GUGCCAGCAGCCGCGGUAAUACGAAGGGGGCUAGCGUUGUUCGGAUUUACUGGGCGUAAAGCGCACGUAGGCGGACUAUUAAGUCAGGGGUGAAAUCCCGGGGCUCAACCCCGGAACUGCCUUUGAUACUGGUAGUCUUGAGUUCGAGAGAGGUGAGCGGAAUUCCGAGUGUAGAGGUGAAAUUCGUAGAUAUUCGGAGGAACACCAGUGGCGAAGGCGGCUCACUGGCUCGAUGCUGACGCUGAGGUGCGAAAGCGUGGGGAGCAAACAGGAUUAGAUACCCCGGUAGUCC
rnacentral:rRNA from 1 species